GCUUUGGUGGGGUAGUGGUAACCUGGGUCGUUGCCAUCAUAAAAUCUUGAGAUGGAUCUCGACCCGCCGGGGGUUCGAUUCCCUCCCAAAGCA